UACGUAGGGGGCAAGCGUUAUCCGGAAUCACUGGGCGUAAAGGGUGCGUAGGCGGCCAAUAAAGUCUAGGGUGAAAGGCUACGGCUCAACCGUAGUAAGCCUUAGAAACUUAUUGGCUUGAGUGCAGGAGAGGAGAGUGGAAUUCCUAGUGUAGCGGUGAAAUGCGUAGAUAUUAGGAGGAACACCAGUGGCGAAGGCGACUCUCUGGACUGUAACUGACGCUGAGGCACGAAAGCGUGGGGAGCGAACA
rnacentral:rRNA from 2 species